rnacentral:antisense_RNA from 1 species
CAGAUUUGGUGACUGUGCUCCUCCAAGCCAGUGACCUUGGUUCAAAGAGCGCCAACUCUUAGAACCUUCGAAAAAACCGCCCGCCAAGGCGGUUUUUUCGU